rnacentral:rRNA from 1 species
AUUGAACGCUGGCGGCAGGCCUAACACAUGCAAGUCGAACGAGUAGCGGACGGGUGAGUAAUGUCUGGGAAACUGCCUGAUGGAGGGGGAUAACUACUGUGAACAGUAGCCAAUACCGCAUACCAUCGGAUGUGCCGAGAUGGGAUUAGCUAGUAGGUGGGGGAACGGCUCACCUAGGCGACGAUCCCUAGCUGGUCUGAGAGGAUGACCAGCCACCCUGGAACUGAGACACGGUCCAGACUCCUACGGGAGGCAGCAGUGGGGAAUAUUGCACAAUGGGCGCAAGCCUGAUGCAGCCAUGCCGCGUGUGUGAAGAAGGCCUUCGGGUUGUAAAGUACUUUCAGCGGGGAGGCGUUACUCGCAGAAGAAGCACCGGCUAACUCCGUGCCAGCAGCCGCGGUAAUAC